GGCCUCGUGGCUCAGCUGGUAGAGCAUGCGCGUACAAAGCGUAGGCGGCGUCCAUGCUUGGGUUCGAAUCCCACCGAGGCUA
rnacentral:tRNA from 1 species